GCCUAGAUAGCUCAGUUGGUUAGAGCGUAGUGCUGAUAACGUCAAGGUUGCAGGCUUGAUCCCCAUGUGGGACA
rnacentral:tRNA from 1 species